AAAUGAUUAGGAAUUUUGGUUCUCAAUGCUCUUCAACUUCGUACUUUCUUUGGCCUUCAUAACUUUUUUGGAUUCGAGCGUCACUGAUGAGUCAUUUGUAGACGACGAAACGUGCGUCUGGCUUAAAUACAAAAUUUAAUCCGGGUAUCUAUGAUGAGUUUAUUAACAUCAACCAGGAAGCAACUAAGGGGCCCCUAAGUUUUACAGGCUCAUUUGUCGGGGAAAAACAAAUGAGGAAAAAAACUCCCAUUUUAUGCAACAUCUAUCUUUAUAAAUAUCAUCUAUCUUUGUACACAUGUACAUGUAAUAUAAUCUCUGAUCUAUAUAUCUAUACCUCACAC
rnacentral:lncRNA from 1 species